AAGUCGUAACAAGGUUUCCGUAGGUGAACCUGCGGAAGGAUCAUUAUUGAAUUUAAUGAGGGGAUAUUUGGUUGUAGCUGGCUCAUGAAUUUGGGCAUGUGCACACCUAUCUCUUUCAUCCACACACACCUGUGCACUUGUGAGGCAGAUGGGGAAUUUAUUGAUUGUUUUUUAAGAACAAUUGGUGCUGGACCCUCUGUCUACUCAAUAUAUAAACUCAAUUUAUUUAGAAAUGAAUGUAAUGGAUGUAACGCAUCUAAUACUAAGUUUCAACAACGGAUCUCUUGGCUCUC
rnacentral:misc_RNA from 1 species